rnacentral:rRNA from 1 species
CGCAUCUGUGCAUGCAGCAUAUCAAUAAGCGGAGGAAAAGAAACUAACAAGGAUUCCCCUAGUAACGGCGAGUGAAGCGGGAAGAGCUCAAAUUUGAAAUCUUAAAGGGUUUCCCUUUACGAAUUGUAGUUUAAAGAAGUGUUUUCUGUUGAGGUUUUGGUAAAAGUUCUUUGGAAUAGGACAUCAUAGAGGGUGAGAAUCCCGUAUUUGACCUUUACUUUCAACUUUGUGAUACACUUUCAAAGAGUCGGAUUGUUUGGGAAUGCAGUCCAAAAUGGGUGGUAAAUUUCAUCUAAAGCUAAAUAUUGGCGAGAGACCGAUAGCGAACAAGUACCGUGAGGGAAAGAUGAAAAGAACUUUGAAAAGAGAGUUAAACAGUACGUGAAAUUGUCAAAAGGAAGCGUUUGACACCAGUGUUGUUUUUCUGAAAAUCAAUUAAAGAACUGUUUAUGCUAAGCUGUUUAGACUUUAUCAGCUAACUGUUUAGUUUUGGGCUUUUCUUUAAUGCACUUUUCAGUUAACAAGUCAACAUCAAUUUCUUUUGCUGUAAAAAAGCUUGAGGAAGGUGGCUUGAGAUUCGUCUUAAGUGUUUAUAGCCUCUUGCCUAUGCAGUCGGAGAGAUUGAGGUCUGCAGCGUAGAUCCUUCGGGGCUAAAUGCAUUUGUGCUAAGUUAUAGCAUUUUAUAGACAACUUGUUGACUAUGAUUUGUCUUGUAGCUUACUCGCUUAUGUUAUUUUACCUACGCUUAGGAUGUUGAACGCGCACAGAGUCUC